rnacentral:lncRNA from 1 species
GUCGUUCGAUCGAGGUCGAAUUUUUCUUUUUGGCGAAGGCCCCUGGACUUAAACGGUGUUAUUUCGAACUUAUUGAAAUAGUAACCCGUCAUCGUAUGAUCGAGGUCGAACUCUUUUUUGGCGAAGGCCUCUGGCCUUAAAGGGUGUUAUUUCGAACUUAUCAAAAUAGUCACCCGUCGUCGUUCAAUAGAGUUUGAACACUUCUUUUUUGCGAAGGCCCUUGGACUUAAAGGGUGUUAUUUCGAACUUAUCAAAAUUGUAACCCAUCUUCAUUCGAUCGAUGUUGAACUCUUCUUUUUGGCGAAGGCCCCUGGCCUUCAAGGGUGUUAUUUCGAACAUAUCGAAAUAGUAACCCGUCAUCGUUCGAUCGAGGUCGAACUCUUCUUUUUGGCGAAGGCCCCUGGCGUUAAAGGGUGUUAUUUCGAACUUAUCGAAAUAGUAACUCGUUGUCGUAUGAUCGAGGUCGAACUCUUCUUUUUGGCGAAGGCCUCUGGCCUUAAAGAGGUGUUAUUUCGAACUUAUCGAAAUAGUCACCCGUCGUCGUUCGAUAGAGGUUGAACUCUUCAUUUUGGCGAAAGCCCCUAGCCUUAAAGGGUGUUAUUUCGAACUUUACGAAAUAGUAACCCAUUGU